UCCCCUACUCUCAAGUUAUCCUUUCCCAUCCCACACUUUCCUCCUUAAGGAUCUUGAAAUGAGAGGAUUAUUCUGGAUUAUCCACAUGGGCCCAGUGUAACUCACAAGGAUCCUCAAAGAAGGAGGCAAGAGGGUCAGAGUAAGUGAAAUGGAAGGAUGGAAACAGAGGUUGUGCUUUGAAGAUGGAGGAGGGGCCAUGAGCCGAGGAGGGGCCAUGAACCAAGGAGGGUCAGUGGGUCCUAGAAGCUGGAAAAGGUAAGGAAACACACUCUCCCCUAGAACCUUCACAAGAACACAGCUCCACUUACAGCUUGAUUUUAGCCCCAUCAGACCCAUUUCAGACUUCUGACCUCCGGAACUAUUAGAUGAUUUGUGAUGUUUUUAGCCACUAUGUUUGUGGUAACACAUUAUAGCAGUCAUCAGAAAUUAAUACAGGGAGUCAGAAGCAUCACUAGGACAUUUGAGCAAAGAACCUGAGACAGGGAGGGGGACAACUUGGGAAAGACUAUUCUGGGCAAAAAGAACAGCCAGUGCAAAGGCCCUGAGGUAGAAGUAUACUGCUUGUUGGAUUGUCAGUGGAGGAGGCCCUAUGGCUGGGACAGAGUGAGUGAGGGGGAGAGUGGGAGGAGCCCAGAUCAGAGAGAUGAUGGGGUCAGACUGUGUGGUGCUUUAUGGGGUACCAUGAGGAUCUUGUUCUUUUGCCCUGAGUGAGAUGGUGCCACAACCCUUCUACUAUGCUCAUGAUUCUGUGGGUCAGGCAUUCAGACAGACAGCAAAGAUUACUUGUCUCUGCUGCACAGUGUCUGGUACCCCAGCUAGGAAAAUCUGUGUCACUGGGGGUGCCUCAAAUGGCUGAAUUUGAAGUUAUCUGGAAGCUUCUUUACUCAUGUGUCUGGUGCCUGGGCUGAAUGACAUAAAGGUCAUGUGGCCUCUGCAUAACUUGAGCUUCCUCCCAGCAUGGAGGUUUGUGAAAGUGUUGUAAGCAGUCAGGGUGGGAGCCACAAGCCUUCUCUGGAAUUUGCCUUCUUAGUGAUGCAACAUCACAUCCAUCCCAACCUGUGGGUUACAACCCAGUCGCUAAGGUCAAUCCAAAUUCACGGGGAGAGGAACUAGACUCCAACUCUUGAUGGCUCAGUGGCAAAGUCAUAUCACAGAAAAAAAUAACUGAGUCCCAGUGAAAAAACUGUGUGCACUUUAACCUACCCUGGUUCCAUCCAGGUCAGCAGCAGCAGCCUUGGAGACAACAGCCUGUAUUGUUGGUUCUGGAGGCAGCAGAACGGACCUUCUCAAAGAAUUAUGGUUGUUCGUUUUGAUCUGUCUGGUGGCUCCCACCAGAAGUACCUGCUCAAAAGGCUUGUCUUACUUCACCUAACUUGGUACUCUCCCAGUUCAUCCAGGUCUCCCAAUUCAUCACAUGUAUCAGAGAUACUGCAGAUUGAACCCAGGACCUUGUGUAUGCCAAGCAUGCUCUCUACCACUUGAGCUAUAUUCGCCCUGCCUCACAUAGUCUAUGGCUGCUUUUAAGAAUUUUCUCUACCUUGCUGGUUUUGAGCGAUUUGAUGAUCAGGUGUGUUGGUAUAGUUCUGUUCACAUUUUAUGGGUUGGGUUUGGUUGCACUUUUGGGGUCUGUGGAUUUAUAGUUUUCAUUAGAUUUGGAAAUUUGGGGGCCAUCAUUUCUUCAGAUAUUUUUCUGCCCUCCCCCUUUGUUUGAGAACUCAUAUUCACUAUAUAUUAGGUUGCUUCAAAUUGUCCCACAGCUCAGUGAUGCUCUUUUCUUUUUUUUUUCUAUUUUUUUCCCAUAUGUUUCAUUUUGGACUGCUUCUCCUUCAGAUUCAGGAGUCUUUUUUUCCAGCAAUGUGUGAUCUGUCUUAUUUCCAUCCAAUGUAAUUUUUCUCAUCACAUCCUCUGUAGUUUUUAAUCUCAAGAGGUUCAGUUUGGGUCUGUUGUUUAUCUUCCAUGUCUCUAGUUAACUUUUUGAGCAUAUGGAACAGAGUUGUCAUAAUGGUUCUCAUGUCCUUGUUGAUAGUUCUAACAUGUGUGUCAGUUUGGGGUCAGUUUCAGUUCCUGAUUAAUUUCAUCAUGUUUUGCUGCUUCUCUGAAUGCUCAGUGAGCUUUGGUUUUGCCUUGUUGAGUGCUGACUAGUUUCUGCGUUCUUAUGAGUACUGUCGAGGUUUGUUCUGGGUUGUGACGUGGAGGCAGUUUGAUGCUUUGGGGUUUUACAUUCAUGUUGUCUGAGGUGGGCUCUGAGCAGUGCUCCGUCUAAGCCUAAUUGUUCCCACUACGGAGGCAGGAACUUCCUGAGUAUUUCACUCACCACCCCAUGAAGGAUGAGGUUUUCCAGUCUGGCUGGUGGGGACAGGCACUACUGGGGGCCCUGGGUAAGUGUGGGCGCUGUUCUCUAAUCCUUUCAGGUAGCCGGUAGUUUCAGGAUAGUACAGUGCAGAUGAAAUAGGCCGUUUCCUCACUGAUCAGCGCCCUGCUGACUACUCAGAGGCGUCUCUGCUGACCUCUCCCUGAGCAGCUCUCUACUCUCCAGGUCUCUGACCUGUGAACUCUUCCCAGACUCUUAGUUCCAACCUUUCUCAUCUCAAGGAGUCCCCUGGACUUGCAGUGGAGGAAAGAAAUCGUUUUCCCUCUCCAGUCCAAGGUUCUCUGCCUGGAGCCCUAUAAAUGAGACAGACAAAAGACUGACUAACGAGAGAAAAACAAACAGAAGUGUGUUAACAUGGGCGUCACACAUACACAUGCGAGUACUUAGCGAUGAGUAACUCAAAGGGGUGGUUAGAACUGGAGCUUAGCAAGCACAUGAUUAUGAGUUGAAUUUUGUCCCCCCAAAAAGCCUGGUUGAAGUUCUAACCCCCAGUACUGUAGAAUGUGACCUUAUUUCCAAAUAAGAUGCAGAUGUACUUAGUUAAGAGGAGGUCACGCUAGAGGCUCCUAACUCAGUAUGACUGGUGCCCUUAUGAGAAGACAGCCGUGCGAAGACACAGAGACACAGGGAGAAGGCCUGUGAAGACAGGCAGAGACUGCAGUGAAGCAACCACAAGCCAAGGGACUCCUGGGAUGGACCAGAAGCUUGAAAGAGGCAAGGAAGGAUCCUCUUCUAGAAGCUUCGAGAGAGCAUGGCCCAGUGAACACCUUGAUUUCAGACUUCUAGCCUCUAGGACCAUGAGAGAGUAAAUUUCUGUUGUUUUAAGCCACCCAGUUUGUGGUAUUUUGUUAUGGUAGCCCUGGGAAACUUACAUGCAUCCCAUUACCUAGAGUUCAAGAUUUAUUUACUUAUUUUUAAGGUAAAAUUUGUACACUGAGAAAUGUAAAACCUUAAGUGUGCAAUUCCAUGGAUUUUGACAACUGCUUAUACCUGUGUAACCCCAAUCUUUAUUAAGAAAUAGAACAUCGCCAUCACCUCAGAAAGUUCCCUCACUCCCCUCUAGUUGUAAGACUUUAAAACGAACCCUAAGUUUAAGCCACACACACACACACACACACAACCAACCCUGCCUGUAAUUAUCUAUCUCAAACACUUCAUUAUCUAUCUCAACCAAAUAAUGACUUUACAAAAAUCGUAACCACAAUGCCAUUAUCAGACCAAACACUUAACAAUAUUUCCUCACUAUCUUGUAACACAUACUCUGUUUAAAUAUCCCAGUUGUCUCAGAAAUGUCUUUUUAAAUGGGUUGGUUCAAAUCAGGAACUACACAAGAUGUACACGCUGCAUUUUUAAUCUGCAGGGGUUCUUAAGCUGGAGUCCUGGGACCUCCAAGGGGCCCAGAGUUCUUGGAGUCUAUCACCUUUGGUGGGGAAAAAAAUGGCAUCUUUGUUUUCACGAACUGCUAACUGACAUUAAAUAUUUCUGUAAAUUACGAAUGUUGGCAACGAAUCACGGUACUGUUGGCAGAACCUAGGACUCUGUCACCAAAAUAAAUCACAGAUGUUUCAUAGCA